rnacentral:lncRNA from 1 species
UGAUUGUGAACCCGAAAAACAAUCGUUGUAAGGUUGUGGUUGGUGAGCCUUUGGGAAAACCAACUGGGUUGGAUUGUGAGCCCGUGAAAACAAUCGGUUGGUUCUAGUCGGUGAGCCUGUGAAAACCGACCGAGUUCGUUGUGAUCUCGCAAAAUAACAAGUUGGGUUGUGAGCUUGUAAAACAACCGACUGUAAUCUGAGGGAUUAUAGUGAAAUUCUCAAGAGGUCUUGGGGAGUGGAUGUAGGUGCUGGGGUGCACCGAACCACUAUACAUCUUUGUGUUUGUGAUGCCUUAUCUCUUGUAUUUCAUGCCUUACAUACAUGUUUGAUUGUGUAAUAUCUCUAGCUUUGUUUUCUAUAGAGUUAUAAGUGAUUGUUUAGAACUUGCUUAGCUUCCACUCCAUUCUUACCAUACACAUAGAUUAAAAUUGAUCAUACAACUAUAAGUUAAUUUUAGAUCAAUUGCACCCUAAAGCCAUAGUAUAAUUGCUCUAGCUUAAUUUU